GAGAAAAGUCAGAACGGAUUUCGUCCAUACGGCAGUGGAAGCAGGCAGGUUUCGGACUGCAAGCCGGCCAAAGUGAGCACCCGAAGGAAUUUGGCGUUUUUUCUCGUUCUUCUUGGUGGAUAAACGUUGGCCUCGCAGCUUGACCACCUCGGGGGAGGAACGGGAGCAGCCGGUACCAGCGGAACCGGUGCCGCCGGAGGACAGCUCAACCGAUUCGGGUAUCGGUUCGAUCGAAGUUGUCGAAAAUCGGCGGCAUCUCGUCCGUCAUCAGCGAGCUGCAGUUCGAGGAGGACGAAGAUGAUGGGGCACUCGGGGGCCAGCAGAAUUAUCUGUCACCGCACGCGUGCCGUUACUGCGGCAUUCAUUAGCCGAGUACGGUCGAGUUGUGCAACAUUUGCAAGAUGUGGUUCUGCAACGGGUGCGGCAACACGUCCGGUCGCAUAUCGUGAACCAUCUGGUGCACGCCAAGCACCGGGAGGUUACGCUGCACGGCGACGGGCCGCUGGGAGAGACCACGACUAGGUGUUGGGAAAUCAGGAAAGGACCCCAGAUCACCCGCUGUCCUCUCUUGUCAUCGUAUGUGAAGCAGAGCGCGGCCAAAAGCUUGCAUUGCCAUCGAUUCCUUGCCGAGGGUUUCCACGGCCAGCUAAAACACGGUAUGGCAAGGGGGUCGUACUCGCUGAACGUGACAUGCACGAUAAGAUCGCAGCGGCAAUCUUCGCCAACGAUUCAAGCACAAUCUUGCCCGGAGUGUUGGCGAUUGAGAUCUUUGCGUUCUUGAUACGCCUCCGCUGAUGCACACCGGAAUUUUGGUCCAGCAGUGGUCAGUGGCCGGGGGUUCCGUCCCCAAUUACAUCGUCCUGGAUUCGAUUAAUGUCGAUAACAAUUUCUUCCGCCAGAUUUCGCGACGAGUGACGAAUGUGCACCAGAAUGUCAUGCGUGAGUGAAAUGCGUGACAAAUAUGGCAUCCAGCGUUGUGAGUCCAACCCCCACUUUGCUUUACUUCGAGACAGUUACAAAGCUUGCCCGUGGAUGUCGAGUUUUGUACGACUCCCUUCAACCAGAGUUGUGUCUUCAGAAUGCUGCACAGAAUAGUCACAUGAUCACAACUACUGUAGGCCUGUACAGAGACAAGCUGAAGUCACGGGCAAGUCUAACUUUUUAACAGUCCCAUUUUGUUACUCCGUUGAAUU